AUGUCGCGGCUGGGGUGUUCUCUUCUCCCUGCGGUGUUAGGCUCUGUUACGGAUGAGUCGAGAACGCCCCACAGCCUCCACUGCACCUCCAUUGGAGCUGUCGAGAGCAUCUCAGAUACCGAAGAAAUAAAUCAAUGCCAUGCAGAUCAUGCAUCCCGUCUGGGUGUCCAAGAGCGAAAGUCGGAUGUCAAUGCAUUCAAUGUAUUUGAAACAAUGGAUGUAAGACAGAAUCAAUUAGUGGAUAUUUCAACAAUGGAUGUAAGACAGAACCAAUGCGCGGAUCUGUUGAAAGUAUGUACUGUAAGCACAACUGUUGUAAUACCUACCCAGAAACUGGGAAACUGGGAAUCGGCGGCGCCUCCAAAACGGGAACGCGGCGCCGUCGGUUUCUGUGCGUGA
rnacentral:rRNA from 1 species